CACAAGCGGUGGAUGAUGUGGUUUAAUUCGAUGCAACGCGAAAACCUUACCCACCUUUGACAUGGCAGGAAUCCUGAAGAGAUUUGGGAGUGCUCGAAAGAGAACCUGCACACAGGUGCUGCAUGGCUGUCGUCAGCUCGUGUCGUGAGAUGUUGGGUUAAGUCCCGCAACGAGCGCAACCCUUGCCAUUAGUUGCUACGAAAGGGCACUCUAAUGGGACUGCCGGUGACAAACCGGAGGAAGGUGGGGAUGACGCCAAGUCCUCAUGGCCCUUAUAGGUGGGGCUACACACGUCAUACAAUGGCCGGUACAGAGGGUAGCCAACCCGCGAGGGGGAGCCAAUCCCACAAAGCCGGUCGUAGUCCGGAUCGCAGUCUGCAACUCGACUGCGUGAAGUCGGAAUCGCUAGUAAUCGCGGAUCAGCAUGUCGCGGUGAAUACGUUCCCGGGUCUU
rnacentral:rRNA from 1 species